CAGUCGCCACGGUAAUACGAACCGUGCGAACGUUAUUCGGAAUUACUGGGCUUAAAGCGCGUGUAGGCGGGCCGCCACGUCGGUUGCUGAAAUCCCCCGGCUCAACCGGGGAAGUGGCAUCGAUACGAGCGGCCUUGAGGGGGGUAGGGGGAUCUGGAACUUCCGGUGGAGCGGUGAAAUGCGUUGAGAUCGGAAGGGACGCCCGUGGCGAAAGCGAGGUCCUGGACCCUUUCUGACGCUGAGACGCGAAAGCCAGGGGAGCGAACGGGAUUAGAUACCCCUGUAGUCCCUGUCUCUUAUU
rnacentral:rRNA from 1 species